GCCCUGCUGGCUCAAUUGGUGGAGCAUGCGACUUUUAAUCUCAGCGUUGUGAGUUCAAGUCCCACGCUGGGUG
rnacentral:tRNA from 1 species